UCAAAACGACUCUCGGCAACGGAUAUCUCGGCUCUCGCAUCGAUGAAGAACGUAGCGAAAUGCGAUACUUGGUGUGAAUUGCAGAAUCCCGUGAACCAUCGAGUCUUUGAACGCAAGUUGCGCCCGAUGCCUUCGGGCUGAGGGCACGCCUGCCUGGGCGUCA
rnacentral:rRNA from 7 species